GAACGGUGACGCCUUCGGGGUGGAUCAGUGGCGAACGGGUGAGUACACGUGGGCAAUCUGCCCUGCACUCUGGUAACAAGCCUUGGAAACGAGGUCUAAUACCGGAUAUUACCCUUGACCGCAUGGUCUUGGGUGGAAAGCUCCGGCGGUGCAGGAUGAGCCCGCGGCCUAUCAGCUUGUUGGUGGGGUGAUGGCCUACCAAGGCGACGACGGGUAGCCGGCCUGAGAGGGCGACCGGCCACACUGGGACUGAGACACGGCCCAGACUCCUACGGGAGGCAGCAGUGGGGAAUAUUGCACAAUGGGCGAAAGCCUGAUGCAGCGACGCCGCGUGAGGGAUGAAGGCCUUCGGGUUGUAAACCUCUUUCAGCAGGGAAGAAGCGCAAGUGACGGUACCUGCAGAAGAAGCACCGGCUAACUACGUGCCAGCAGCCGCGGUAAU
rnacentral:rRNA from 1 species